rnacentral:rRNA from 1 species
GUGCUUACCAUGCAAGUCGAACGAUGAACUUGGAGCUUGCUCUGGGGGAUUAGUGGCGAACGGGUGAGUAACACGUGAGUAACCUGCCCUGGACUCUGGGAUAAGCGUUGGAAACGACGUCUAAUACCGGAUAGGACCUCUGACCGCAUGGUCGGGGGUGGAAAGUUUUUUCGGUCUGGGAUGGACUCGCGGCCUAUCAGCUUGUUGGUGAGGUAAUGGCUCACCAAGGCGUCGACGGGUAGCCGGCCUGAGAGGGUGACCGGCCACACUGGGACUGAGACACGGCCCAGACUCCUACGGGAGGCAGCAGUGGGGAAUAUUGCACAAUGGGCGAAAGCCUGAUGCAGCAACGCCGCGUGCGGGAUGACGGCCUUCGGGUUGUAAACCGCUUUUAGUAGGGAAGAAGGGCUUCGGCUUGACGGUACCUGCAGAAAAAGGACCGGCUAACUACGUGCCAGCAGCCGCGGUAAUACGUAGGGUCCGAGCGUUGUCCGGAAUUAUUGGGCGUAAAGAGCUCGUAGGCGGUUUGUCGCGUCUGCUGUGAAAACUGGAGGCUCAACCUCCAGCCUGCAGUGGGUACGGGCAGACUAGAGUGCGGUAGGGGAGAAUGGAAUUCCUGGUGUAGCGGUGGAAUGCGCAGAUAUCAGGAGGAACACCGAUGGCGAAGGCAGUUCUCUGGGCCGUAACUGACGCUGAGGAGCGAAAGCGUGGGGAGCGAACAGGAUUAGAUACCCUGGUAGUCCACGCCGUAAACGUUGGGCGCUAGAUGUGGGGACCUUUCCACGGUUUCCGUGUCGUAGCUAACGCAUUAAGCGCCCCGCCUGGGGAGUACGGCCGCAAGGCUAAAACUCAAAGGAAUUGACGGGGGCCCGCACAAGCGGCGGAGCAUGCGGAUUAAUUCGAUGCAACGCGAAGAACCUUACCAAGGCUUGACAUAACCGAGAACGCCCUAGAAAUAGGGAACUCUUUGGACACUCGGUUACAGGUGGUGCAUGGUUGUCGUCAGCUCGUGUCGUGAGAUGUUGGGUUAAGUCCCGCAACGAGCGCAACCCUCGUCGCAUGUUGCCAGCACGUAAUGGUGGGAACUCAUGUGAGACUGCCGGGGUCAACUCGGAGGAAGGUGGGGAUGACGUCAAAUCAUCAUGCCCCUUAUGUCUUGGGCUUCACGCAUGCUACAAUGGCCGGUACAAAGGGCUGCGAUGUCGUAAGGCGGAGCGAAUCCCAAAAAGCCGGUCUCAGUUCGGAUUGAGGUCUGCAACUCGACCUCAUGAAGUCGGAGUCGCUAGUAAUCGCAGAUCAGCAACGCUGCGGUGAAUACGUUCCCGGGCCUUGUACACACCGCCCGUCAAGUCAUGAAAGUCGGUAACACCCGAAGCCGGUGGCCUAACCCUUGUGGAGGGAGCCGUCGAAGGUGGGAUCGGUGAUUAGGACUAAGUCGUAACAAGAGCAGCCA